UACGUAGGGUGCGAGCGUUGUCCGGAAUUAUUGGGCGUAAAGAGCUCGUAGGCGGUGUGUCGCGUCGGCCGUGAAAACCUGGGGCUCAACUCUGGGCGUGCGGUCGAUACGGGCAUCACUUGAGUUCGGCAGGGGAGACUGGAAUUCCUGGUGUAGCGGUGAAAUGCGCAGAUAUCGGGAGGAACACCAAUUGCGAAGGCAGCUCGCUGGGACGUCACUGACGCUGAGACGCGAAAGCGUGGGGAGCAAACAGG
rnacentral:rRNA from 1 species